rnacentral:rRNA from 1 species
ACACGUGGGCAACCUACCUUAUCGACUGGGAUAACUCCGGGAAACCGGGGCUAAUACCGGAUAAUAUCUAGCACCUCCUGGUGCCGGAUUAAAAGAGGGCUUCUUGCUCUCACGAUGAGAUGGGCCCGCGGCGCAUUAGCUAGUUGGAGAGGUAACGGCUCCCCAAGGCGACGAUGCGUAGCCGACCUGAGAGGGUGAUCGGCCACACUGGGACUGAGACACGGCCCAGACUCCUACGGGAGGCAGCAGUAGGGAAUCUUCCGCAAUGGACGAAAGUCUGACGGAGCAACGCCGCGUGAGUGAUGAAGGGUUUCGGCUCGUAAAGCUCUGUUAUGAGGGAAGAACACGUACCGUUCGAAUAGGGCGGUACCUUGACGGUACCUCAUCAGAAAGCCACGGCUAACUACGUGCCAGCAGCCGCGGUAAUACGUAGGUGGCAAGCGUUGUCCGGAAUUAUUGGGCGUAAAGCGCGCGCAGGCGGCCUUUUAAGUCUGAUGUGAAAUCUUGCG